rnacentral:rRNA from 1 species
CGGCGGACGGGUGAGUAAUGCAUAGGAAUCUGCCCGGUAGUGGGGGAUAACCUGGGGAAACCCAGGCUAAUACCGCAUACGUCCUACGGGAGAAAGCAGGGGAUCUUCGGACCUUGCGCUAUCGGAUGAGCCUAUGUCGGAUUAGCUUGUUGGUGAGGUAAUGGCUCACCAAGGCGACGAUCCGUAGCUGGUCUGAGAGGAUGAUCAGCCACAUCGGGACUGAGACACGGCCCGAACUCCUACGGGAGGCAGCAGUGGGGAAUAUUGGACAAUGGGCGAAAGCCUGAUCCAGCCAUGCCGCGUGUGUGAAGAAGGCUUUCGGGUUGUAAAGCACUUUCAGUGAGGAAGAAGGCCUUGGGGCCAAUACCCCCGAGGAAGGACAUCACUCACAGAAGAAGCACCGGCUAACUCCGUGCCAGCAGCCGCGGUAAUACGGAGGGUGCGAGCGUUAAUCGGAAUUACUGGGCGUAAAGCGCGCGUAGGCGGCGUGAUAAGCCGGUUGUGAAAGCCCCGGGCUCAACCUGGGAACGGCAUCCGGAACUGUCAGGCUAGAGUGCAGGAGAGGAAGGUAGAAUUCCCGGUGUAGCGGUGAAAUGCGUAGAGAUCGGG